AUUCCCCUUAUUUAUAGGGAAAAUGAUGUAACACAGACCCAGUCUCCAGGGCCACAGCUUCCUACACAGACAUCGCCCUGCCCAUCCGAUGGGGUUGUUAGCAUCUUUCUCUCCUCUUGAGGAAACACAACCGCUUGGGACUCAGUUCCUUUUUCAGAUUUAUGUCUUUCAGUCAAAGGCUAAGUUCAGAGGUUCAUCAUCAAGGCAGGAACAUGGCAGCAUCCAGGCAGGCAUGGUACAGGAGGAGCUGAGAGUUCUACAUCAUCAUCUGAAGGCCUCUAGGAGAAGACUGGCUCCCACGAGUAGAGCCAUCAAGAUGACUAAAGGUGUUUCCUGAUAAGCCUGACAGCCUUGGUUGGAUCUCAGGACUCACAUGGUAGAAGGAGAGAACUGAUCUUUGCAAACUGCCUACUAACCUCCACAUGUGGUGCACACAUGCAUAAAUUCAUAAAUAAAUUAAAUGAAAAACAAAAGUCAACUGAAAAGUAACUCAAGAAUAAACCUGCCAUCUUCUGUCUUUCAACUUGUCACAGUGUUUCCAUUUGCUGU
rnacentral:lncRNA from 1 species